GGAAGACCUAAAAAUAGUGGCAAAAAGCCAACCGAGCUUGGUGAUAGCUGGUUACUCAACAAAUGAACUUUAGUUCAACUUUAGGUGCCCAUGGGCCAACUACUUUAACCCACCACCCUUUAACCUAAAGAAAUUCAAUGGGGGUACAGCCCCAUUGAACCGGAAUACAACCCGAAUUGAGAGACACCUACUAAACUUUAACCCUAACAGUAGGCCCCAAAGCAGCCACCAACUAAACGCGUUACAGCUACAACAAAACAAUUUUUACAAUAAUAUACACCUCCUAGUAUACCACGAGUUAUUCUAUUUUUUAAUAGAAACACCAAUGCUAAAAUUAGUAAUAAGAAACCCUAAUUUCUCUCCGCACCCCCUUAAAUCAGAAUAGAAAAACUACUGAUAAUUAACACAACACGACCUACAACAACUAGCUAACAUGUCAACUAAAAUCUGUUACCCCAACACAGGAGUGCAAAAAAGAAAGGCAAAAAGCCAUAAAAGGAACUCGGCAAACCCUACCGUCCCAACUGUUUACCAAAAACAUAGCCUUUAGCUCAACAAGUAUUAAAGGUCCCGCCUGCCCAGUGACUCUUUAAACGGCCGCGGUAUCCUAACCGUGCAAAGGUA
rnacentral:rRNA from 2 species